GAUGAACGCUGGCGGCGUGCCUAAUACAUGCAAGUCGAGCGAACAGACGAGGAGCUUGCUCCUCUGACGUUAGCGGCGGACGGGUGAGUAACACGUGGAUAACCUACCUAUAAGACUGGGAUAACUUCGGGAAACCGGAGCUAAUACCGGAUAAUAUAUUGACCCGCAUGGUUCAAUAGUGAAAGACGGUUUUGCUGUCACUUAUAGAUGGAUCCGCGCCGCAUUAGCUAGUUGGUAAGGUAACGGCUUACCAAGGCAACGAUGCGUAGCCGACCUGAGAGGGUGAUCGGCCACACGGGAACUGAGACACGGUCCAGACUCCUACGGGAGGCAGCAGUAGGGAAUCUUCCGCAAUGGGCGAAAGCUUGACGGAGCAACGCCGCGUGAGUGAUGAAGGUCUUCGGAUCGUAAAACUCUGUUAUUAGGGAAGAACAAAUGUGUAAGUAACUAUGCACGUCUUGACGGUACCUAAUCAGAAAGCCACGGCUAACUACGUG
rnacentral:rRNA from 1 species